UCAAAUGUGUCCUGGAACUGCCUAGCACAAACAUGAAAAACGGACCAGAAUCUUUGGGAAUUCAAGAGAACAUUUCCAAAAGGAAGAGACAGUGCUGCAAAGGAUGCUAAAAGUCAGGUGCCCAGUUCUCCCUCAGAGAGGAAGCGGAAAGGCGGCAUCCAAUGUGACUGGACAAUCUCUCUCUGAAAUGUUUUACUUGGGGAUCAGGUCAAAGCCAGGGAGUACACCUACAAGCCAUCCAGGUCUAAUAUCAGAAUGACAGAGGAAGAUGUACAAGGCCAAGCAGAAUGAGAUCUGUAGCUGCUCAGGAGUGGCUGAUAAUUAACUCUUCUUUUCUCCCGUCCCCAAUCCCAAUGGGUCUGUGACAAUAAAACACCCAGCCUGUGACAGCAACAAGAGUUCCUGUGCCAUAGGACGCAAGCAUUUCAGCAAGGAUAUUCUCUCACCUACAGUUCCUAAGACACGGAGGGAGGGAUGAUGCAAAGAACGCUUAUA